GUCGAUCGCCCUUGGAAAGGCACCCCAAUCCCAUGUAACCACACUGAUCGUCAGUUAUUUGCUGCAUGCACUAGCAUUCAACUGGGGGAUGGUAGGAAAGCGCAUUUCUGGUCGGAUAGAUGGCUGAAUGGAAUGGCUCCGAUGGAUAUUGCCCCUACUCUGUACAAGUUGUCUCGUAGAAAGCUUCUGUCUGUACGGGGCGGCCUACAUGAUAAUCAAUGGAUGGCUGGGCUGCAAAGGAUCAACAAUGCUCUGACUCUUGACUCCCUUCUGAACCUUUGGACGGCCCUACAGCAGGUCCUUCUCACUGAUCGGGACGACGAAAUCUCUUGGAUCCACUCCUCGAAUGGAAUCUACAACGUCAAAUCCGCUUACAAUAUUCAGUUCAUCACUCGAAUUGCAAUGCCGCAACUUGAAUAGGUAUGGAAAAUCAAGGCUGAACCUAAGAUCAGAUUCUUCAUCUGGACCUUGCUCCAAAACAGGCUGUGGACUGCUGAUCGUCUGGCGGCUCGAGGAUGGCCACAUAACGAUCGCUGCAGCACUUGUGAUCAGCUCUCGGAGUCUGCGCGACACAUCUUGAUUGAUUGCCCUUUUGCGAAGGAGAUUUGGCAAUCCUUUCACUUUUCCCACCCUGAAGUUGCUUCUGCUGCCCUUGCUGCCACUUCUAUCAAAUCCUGGUGGACGACUUCAAUCAGAUGCAAGAUCUUGCAUGACAAUCUUCAUGCAUCUACCGUGGCGGCAUACAUCUCUUGGAAUCUUUGGAAUGAGCGAAACAGAAGGGCUUUCCAACAGAAGACAACUUCCGCGCCUGGAGUACAUAGGAUGAUUAGAGAUGAGAUUGACCUCUUUGCUGGGGCUUGGGAGUUUUAG
rnacentral:rRNA from 1 species